rnacentral:misc_RNA from 1 species
GAUGAAGAACGUAGCGAAAUGCGAUAAGUAGUGUGAAUUGCAGAAUUCAGUGAAUCAUCGAAUCUUUGAACGCACAUUGCGCCCUUUGGUAUUCCUUAGGGCAUGCCUGUUCGAGCGUCAUUUAAACCUUCAAGCUCAGCUUGGUGUUGGGUGACUGUCCGCUUCACCGCGGACUCGCCUCAAAAUUAUUGGCGGCCGGUACAUUGGCUCUCGAGCGCAGCAGAAACGCGUAACUCGAGGUCCUCGUGCUGGCUCCCAGAAGCUAUCUUCACAAUUUUGACCUCGGAUCAGGUAGGGAUACCCGCUGAACUUAAGCAUAUCAAUAAGCGGAGG